rnacentral:lncRNA from 1 species
AUGGACCCCUGCUCCUGCAAAGCUCUGCUUCAGGCUCAAACCACACAUAAGCAGCUCCAGGUGUCAACUGAGCAAAGUCCAGAUCAGCUGCAGUUAUUCCAGAGUAUGCGUCCACAUGCAGAAUAUUCCAGAACAGGUGAGCUGUCCUUCCACUGUCCACUUCUCUUGUGGGUGAAUAUGGGAUGUUGGAUUUUGGAAGUGGGGAGAAAUCCACCAGUUUCAGCAGUACUGGUCAGACCUUGUCCCAACAGCCCGGGGAGGUUAUGCUUUGCCUGGGCGGUGCCACCUACAGGGUGUCCUGGUGGCUGCUGCUGUGCAUGGGAUUGCUGUGCAGCCCCAUUUCCCAGUGGGAUUCCCCAUGGGGUGUCCCCCAGGGGCUGCGGCAGGGAGAAAUGGGGUGAGAGACAGGCCGAGACAGCUGAAGAGCCGAGCUGUGGCCAGACCUCACAAGGCUCCUCUCUCUGAUUUAAGGACAGGCUGCCCUAUGAACACUGAUCUGGGUCUCCUGGGAGCAAACUCAGAGAAUCCUGCUGAUUGCUCUGGACAUGAGAUUCUGAUGGGAAUACCUGGCCAAUGCAACAUUUAUUAACGCACCCAUCUCAGGUGUUAUUCACCCCUGAACCUGUACGAGCCAAUGUCACUUCACAAUUCCCUCUUUGCAGACAAAUCCUAAACCUGUAUGGAUCCAGGGUUGCCCUUACCAUUCCUGGAGCUCUCCACUUCCUGCUUUUCCUGUUGCUUUCUGCAGCCAGCUUCACAAAACCCAAACAGGAAUAAUGGGUAAAAUAAAUAUUUCCAGCUGAGGAUUCUGCUUCCA